GAUGAACGCUAGCUACAGGCUUAACACAUGCAAGUCGAGGGGCAGCAUGGUCUUAGCUUGCUAAGGCCGAUGGCGACCGGCGCACGGGUGAGUAACACGUAUCCAACCUGCCGUCUACUCUUGGACAGCCUUCUGAAAGGAAGAUUAAUACAAGAUGGCAUCAUGAGUCCGCAUGUUCACAUGAUUAAAGGUAUUCCGGUAGACGAUGGGGAUGCGUUCCAUUAGAUAGUAGGCGGGGUAACGGCCCACCUAGUCUUCGAUGGAUAGGGGUUCUGAGAGGAAGGUCCCCCACAUUGGAACUGAGACACGGUCCAAACUCCUACGGGAGGCAGCAGUGAGGAAUAUUGGUCAAUGGGCGAGAGCCUGAACCAGCCAAGUAGCGUGAAGGAUGACUGCCCUAUGGGUUGUAAACUUCUUUUAUAAAGGAAUAAAGUCGGGUAUGGAUACCCGUUUGCAUGUACUUUAUGAAUAAGGAUCGGCUAACUCCGUGCCAGCAGCCGCGGUAAUACGGAGGAUCCGAGCGUUAUCCGGAUUUAUUGGGUUUAAAGGGAGCGUAGAUGGAUAUUUAAGUCAGUUGUGAAAGUUUGCGGCUCAACCGUAAAAUUGCAGUUGAUACUGGAUAUCUUGAGUGCAGUUGAGGCAGGCGGAAUUCGUGGUGUAGCGGUGAAAUGCUUAGAUAUCACGAAGAACUCCGAUUGCGAAGGCAGCCUGCUAAGCUGCA
rnacentral:rRNA from 1 species